rnacentral:lncRNA from 1 species
UUUUUUCUUCAUUUUAAUACUUUUUUUCGGAAUAAUUGAAUUAUUACGAUAUGCAUUACCUUGAACUUACGACAUGAACAAAUAUAUAUCAAGGGAGUCUUCAACUUAGUUUCAACACAUUUGUUUCGUUUUGUUCAACUUGAAAAACAUCAACUUUACCUUAAAUCAUAAUAGGAUAUUUUUCUAGGUCUGCUCAUUGAUGAAAGGAAGGAAUUAUUCAUUAUACAUAUUAAUAUGUGAUCUAGGAUUGAUUUGAAACUACUACUAUGUUAAUCUGAACAAUCUGAUACAAUAUAUUGUACUUUGCAUAAUAUAGUAGAUAGUAAAUAAAUAUUGAAGAUACA